GGUGGCGUCCAUGUCAGUCAAGAGGAAGGGGUGCUGCUAAUUUCUAUGUGCCUGAAAUGUCAAUUUGGGUCUCAGAUUGCAUCCCCGUGUUUUGGUGUUAGGGCAUCCUCACUCCUCUCCAAACGCAGAAGACAGACAUACGCGCACAGUGGAUGUCGUAGGACGCGGCGUGAGAGUAGCAAAAUAUUAUUUUAAUUGAAACGACACUGAAAGUACAAAUACCUACUGGCAUCUCUCCUGCCGGAGAGUUCAGACCAGGAGCAUCCGUUCACUUUUCCACGGUAGGCUAUUGUAGAAGGCUUUAUGCUGCCUAGUCUGUUGUAGUGAAGGUACUGACAGCGCAAGGCACCAACAACUUUUUAAAUUCAUUUUUCAACCGCAACUUUUACAUUUUGGAACAACGGACCUCGCGGAUUUCAUGUGGCGAUUCACUUGACAGAAGAAAAUAGUCUGCUUACAUUUUUAACAUACCAAACUUGUUGGACUCAUCAUCAGCUUUGAAAUAUGUUCAGUAAGUGUUUGGUCACAUUCUUGCAUUUCUCAAUUCUGGUGCGUGUGUUGAUGGCUCAUGAAUGUAAGCCCUGUGAUAUCCGGACGUGUCCGCUGAAAGCCUGCGAGAGUGGCCGGACUCUAGCCAAGGACCCGUGCGGAUGCUGCGACCAGUGUAGCCGGCUGGAGUGGGAGCCGUGCGGCGGCAAGGACUGGGAACUGGGCUACUGCUCUUUAGGACUAACCUGCGCGGCUGUCAGCCAAACGGGAGCUGUAACGCUCCCUGAUAUAGGAGUUUGUAAAGUUCUGCCUGACAGCCCGGAGGCUGGGUUGGAGGAUGAGCGCUGCCCCCUGCAGACGGGCUGUGACAGAGCGGGGGCCAUGUGUGUGUGUGACGCUCGUCAAUCCUGCCUGGGCUCCUUCGCCUACCCUGACAUGGAAUCCUGCAUGAGGGCCGGCAAGACAGAGAGCCGUAGACAUGAGCACCGGGACAGGCAGAGGGAGAAGUUUGUGGGCCCCUCCAACCCAGCCUGCAUGUUUUCUGGGUGCAACCUGACAGGACAGGGCUGUGUGUGUGAGUCCCAGAGCUGCCACCACCACUUCACCUACAUCAACCGCAGCCAGUGCCAGGAGGCCGCAGGUAACCUUGAACUAACCUAA
rnacentral:lncRNA from 13 species